CACGUAGGGUGCGAGCGUUGUCCGGAAUUAUUGGGCGUAAAGAGCUCGUAGGCGGUGUGUCGCGUCGGCCGUGAAAACCUGCAGCUUAACUGUGGGCCUGCGGCCGAUACGGGCAGACUUGAGUUCGGUAGGGGAGACUGGAAUUCCUGGUGUAGCGGUGAAAUGCGCAGAUAUCAGGAGGAACACCGGUGGCGAAGGCGGGUCUCUGGGCCGAUACUGACGCUGAGGAGCGAAAGCGUGGGGAGCGAACAGG
rnacentral:rRNA from 1 species